rnacentral:lncRNA from 1 species
GAAAAGUUUACAAUAGUAUCAGUUGCUAUAAAUUACUAAUGUUAUUUAUAAUCGUGCGAAGCGCAGGUUACAUCACUAGUGGAAAAUAAUUUUGAAUCAUAGGACAAGAUAUAGUUUACAGCCGAGCGAAGCGCAGGUUACAUCAACAACAACCUAGUAUAAUUCCACAUAGUGGGGUCUGGGAAUAGUAGUAUGUAUGCAGACCUUACCUCUAUCCUGGGGUAGAAAGGUUGUUUCCAAAUAGACCCCCGGCAUCCUUCCCUCCAAGAACUUCCCACN